GACUGAUUGUCAUCCAGAAUUUUUGUAUAUCAGGUGUCCAACCGAAGCAUGAAGAGCAGAUAUGUAAGUCUUGUUUUGUGAUCGUGAAGUAUGCUCAAAGAAUUCAAAUUAGCGAAUAAUUUACUCGUAAAAGCAAUGCUUAUUUCGCACAAUGCCGCGGAAGUCACCAAACGGGAACGGACUCCUAACUGUGUAACAAGCAAAGAAAACAGACAAAUAACGAAGAAUUAUUUUUGCUUUAGUCGUCUGUAAACAGCCUAGUUUUCCGCUACAGAAAUUAAUAUAGCGUGCAUUACAGCAAAAAUUCAAAAAUGAUUUAUUUCGUCGUUAUGCAUCCGCAUAAAACGAUGAGGGUUG